rnacentral:rRNA from 2 species
GGGUUGUGAGGUUAAGCGACUAAGCGUACACGGUGGAUGCCCUGGCAGUCAGAGGCGAUGAAGGACGUGCUAAUCUGCGAUAAGCGUCGGUAAGGUGAUAUGAACCGUUAUAACCGGCGAUUUCCGAAUGGGGAAACCCAGUGUGUUUCGACACACUAUCAUUAACUGAAUCCAUAGGUUAAUGAGGCGAACCGGGGGAACUGAAACAUCUAAGUACCCCGAGGAAAAGAAAUCAACCGAGAUUCCCCCAGUAGCGGCGAGCGAACGGGGAGCAGCCCAGAGCCUGAAUCAGUGUGUGUGUUAGUGGAAGCGUCUGGAAAGGCGCGCGAUACAGGGUGACAGCCCCGUACACAAAAAUGCACAUACUGUGAGCUCGAUGAGUAGGGCGGGACACGUGGUAUCCUGUCUGAAUAUGGGGGGACCAUCCUCCAAGGCUAAAUACUCCUGACUGACCGAUAGUGAACCAGUACCGUGAGGGAAAGGCGAAAAGAACCCCGGCGAGGGGAGUGAAAAAGAACCUGAAACCGUGUACGUACAAGCAGUGGGAGCACGCUUAGGCGUGUGACUGCGUACCUUUUGUAUAAUGGGUCAGCGACUUAUAUUCUGUAGCAAGGUUAACCGAAUAGGGGAGCCGAAGGGAAACCGAGUCUUAACUGGGCGUUAAGUUGCAGGGUAUAGACCCGAAACCCGGUGAUCUAGCCAUGGGCAGGUUGAAGGUUGGGUAACACUAACUGGAGGACCGAACCGACUAAUGUUGAAAAAUUAGCGGAUGACUUGUGGCUGGGGGUGAAAGGCCAAUCAAACCGGGAGAUAGCUGGUUCUCCCCGAAAGCUAUUUAGGUAGCGCCUCGUGAAUUCAUCUCCGGGGGUAGAGCACUGUUUCGGCAAGGGGGUCAUCCCGACUUACCAACCCGAUGCAAACUGCGAAUACCGGAGAAUGUUAUCACGGGAGACACACGGCGGGUGCUAACGUCCGUCGUGAAGAGGGAAACAACCCAGACCGCCAGCUAAGGUCCCAAAGUCAUGGUUAAGUGGGAAACGAUGUGGGAAGGCCCAGACAGCCAGGAUGUUGGCUUAGAAGCAGCCAUCAUUUAAAGAAAGCGUAAUAGCUCACUGGUCGAGUCGGCCUGCGCGGAAGAUGUAACGGGGCUAAACCAUGCACCGAAGCUGCGGCAGCGACGCUGAUGCGUUGUUGGGUAGGGGAGCGUUCUGUAAGCCUGUGAAGGUGUGCUGUGAGGCAUGCUGGAGGUAUCAGAAGUGCGAAUGCUGACAUAAGUAACGAUAAAGCGGGUGAAAAGCCCGCUCGCCGGAAGACCAAGGGUUCCUGUCCAACGUUAAUCGGGGCAGGGUGAGUCGACCCCUAAGGCGAGGCCGAAAGGCGUAGUCGAUGGGAAACAGGUUAAUAUUCCUGUACUUGGUGUUACUGCGAAGGGGGGACGGAGAAGGCUAUGUUGGCCGGGCGACGGUUGUCCCGGUUUAAGCGUGUAGGCUGGUUUUCCAGGCAAAUCCGGAAAAUCAAGGCUGAGGCGUGAUGACGAGGCACUACGGUGCUGAAGCAACAAAUGCCCUGCUUCCAGGAAAAGCCUCUAAGCAUCAGGUAACAUCAAAUCGUACCCCAAACCGACACAGGUGGUCAGGUAGAGAAUACCAAGGCGCUUGAGAGAACUCGGGUGAAGGAACUAGGCAAAAUGGUGCCGUAACUUCGGGAGAAGGCACGCUGAUAUGUAGGUGAAGCGACUUGCUCGUGGAGCUGAAAUCAGUCGAAGAUACCAGCUGGCUGCAACUGUUUAUUAAAAACACAGCACUGUGCAAACACGAAAGUGGACGUAUACGGUGUGACGCCUGCCCGGUGCCGGAAGGUUAAUUGAUGGGGUCAGCGCAAGCGAAGCUCUUGAUCGAAGCCCCGGUAAACGGCGGCCGUAACUAUAACGGUCCUAAGGUAGCGAAAUUCCUUGUCGGGUAAGUUCCGACCUGCACGAAUGGCGUAAUGAUGGCCAGGCUGUCUCCACCCGAGACUCAGUGAAAUUGAACUCGCUGUGAAGAUGCAGUGUACCCGCGGCAAGACGGAAAGACCCCGUGAACCUUUACUAUAGCUUGACACUGAACAUUGAGCCUUGAUGUGUAGGAUAGGUGGGAGGCUUUGAAGUGUGGACGCCAGUCUGCAUGGAGCCGACCUUGAAAUACCACCCUUUAAUGUUUGAUGUUCUAACGUUGACCCGUGAUCCGGGUUGCGGACAGUGUCUGGUGGGUAGUUUGACUGGGGCGGUCUCCUCCUAAAGAGUAACGGAGGAGCACGAAGGUUGGCUAAUCCUGGUCGGACAUCAGGAGGUUAGUGCAAUGGCAUAAGCCAGCUUGACUGCGAGCGUGACGGCGCGAGCAGGUGCGAAAGCAGGUCAUAGUGAUCCGGUGGUUCUGAAUGGAAGGGCCAUCGCUCAACGGAUAAAAGGUACUCCGGGGAUAACAGGCUGAUACCGCCCAAGAGUUCAUAUCGACGGCGGUGUUUGGCACCUCGAUGUCGGCUCAUCACAUCCUGGGGCUGAAGUAGGUCCCAAGGGUAUGGCUGUUCGCCAUUUAAAGUGGUACGCGAGCUGGGUUUAGAACGUCGUGAGACAGUUCGGUCCCUAUCUGCCGUGGGCGCUGGAGAACUGAGGGGGGCUGCUCCUAGUACGAGAGGACCGGAGUGGACGCAUCACUGGUGUUCGGGUUGUCAUGCCAAUGGCACUGCCCGGUAGCUAAAUGCGGAAGAGAUAAGUGCUGAAAGCAUCUAAGCACGAAACUUGCCCCGAGAUGAGUUCUCCCUGACUCCUUGAGAGUCCUGAAGGAACGUUGAAGACGACGACGUUGAUAGGCCGGGUGUGUAAGCGCAGCGAUGCGUUGAGCUAACCGGUACUAAUGAACCGUGAGGCUUAACCUUACAACGCCGAAGCUGUU